rnacentral:tRNA from 1 species
GGAUCGGUAGCUCAGCUGGCAGAGCAUCGGACUUUUAAUCCGCAGGUCGUGGGUUCGACCCCCACCCGAUUCA